AGCUCUCCGAGUGGUGUGGAUGUUUAUUGGGCCUAAAGCAUCCGUAGCUGGCUAAGUUAGUCCCUUGUUAAAUCCACCGAAUUAAUCGUUGGAUCGCGGGGGAUACUGCUUGGCUAGGGGACGAGAGAGGCAGACGGUAUUUUCGGGGUAGGGGUGAAAUCCUAUAAUCCCGGGAAGACCACCAGUGGCGAAGGCUGUCUGCUAGAACGCGCCCGACGGUGAGGGAUGAAAGCUGGGGGAGCGAACC
rnacentral:rRNA from 1 species